rnacentral:rRNA from 1 species
UACGAAGGGGGCUAGCGUUGUUCGGAAUUACUGGGCGUAAAGCGCGUGUAGGCGGUUGUCCAAGUUGGAUGUGAAAGCCUUGAGCUUAACUCAAGAAAUGCAUUCAGGACUGGAUGGCUAGAGGACCGGAGAGGAUAGUGGAAUUCCCAGUGUAGUGGUGAAAUACGUAGAGAUUGGGAAGAACACCAGUGGCGAAGGCGGCUAUCUGGACGGUUUCUGACGCUAAGGCGCGAAAGCGUGGGGAGCAAACAGG